UGGGAUGAUUGCAAGAAGGCUUU
rnacentral:snRNA from 1 species